AGCUCCGCCAGUGUAUAUCUAUGCUGCUGCGGUUAAAAAGCUCGUAGUUGGAUCUGCAUGCUUCGAGACAGUCCGACAAUGUUGUUGUGUACUGUGCUCGAGCAUAUGGUGGCUGGUUUUCGCUUGAUGCACUUUAUUGUGUGUCCUGCGUGGCUAGCGAGUUUACUUUGAAAAAAUUAGAGUGCUCAAUACAAGCGUUUUGCUUGAAUACUGGUGCAUGGAAUAAUAGAAUAAGAUCUUGGUUUUAUUUUGUUGGUUUUCGAAACACAAGAUAAUGAUUAAGAGGGACAGACGGGGGCAUUUGUAUUGCGACGUUAGAGGUGAAAUUCUUGGAUCGUCGCAAGACAAACUACUGCGAAAGCAUUUGCCAAGAAUGUUUUCAUUAAUCAAGAACGAAAGU
rnacentral:rRNA from 1 species